GGGCCCGCACAAGCGGUGGAGCAUGUGGUUUAAUUCGAUGAUACGCGAGGAACCUUACCAGGGCUUAAAUGUAAGUUGCAUAGAGUAGAGAUAUUCUUUUCUUCGGACUACUUACAAGGUGCUGCAUGGUUGUCGUCAGCUCGUGCCGUGAGGUGUCAGGUUAAGUCCUAUAACGAGCGCAACCCCUGUUGUUAGUUGCCAGCGAGUCAAGUCGGGAACUCUAACAAGACUGCCAGUGCAAACUGUGAGGAAGGUGGGGAUGACGUCAAAUCAUCACGGCCCUUACGUCCUGGGCUACACACGUGCUACAAUGGUAGGUACAGAGAGCAGCCACUGCGCGAGCAGGAGCGAAUCUAUAAAACCUAUCACAGUUCGGAUCGGAGUCUGCAACUCGACUCCGUG
rnacentral:rRNA from 1 species